AAUUGAUUUUUCUUUUUUUUUCUUUUCUAUUUGUAAUCGGGCCAAAUGGACUGGGUGUGGUGGGUUGAGUAGAGUAAUCUUUUAUUUUUGGUUAGAUUGGGCUUUAUAUUUAGGCACUAGUAGAUAUUUUUUUAAGUUUUAGGAUAAAUGGGACACUUACUCAAAAGUGUCCCAAACAUGUGUCCCUAUAACCUAAUUCUGUUGUAGUGAUAAUGCAUCAUGUUCAAUAUGCAAGUAUAAUCGGCAACAUCGAACUUAGACAUAGGAACAGUUCAACUGCUUCGGGAUGGUCACCACCCACCUAUUGGCGACGCUACAACUCGAGGAACAGAACUCGGCAAUUCUUUAGAACGUCACUUCGGCUUUCCGAACAAGAACGAAAGCUACGACCGCCCUUUUGCCAAGAGCUUUCUACCAACUCGACGAAUCAACGAACCGUCUUCGCCAACGCGUUUAAACACCUAUCAAUUAGGUUUACAACCAACUAAUUUAGAUCAAAACCCUCAAUUUCCCAAAACCCCAUUUUGGAGCCCUAGGUUCAACAACGGAAAAAUACUCCGAUAAAACGCUAGAUUCAUAUAAUUAACAU
rnacentral:lncRNA from 1 species